rnacentral:rRNA from 1 species
AGUGAACGCUGGCGGUAGGCCUAACACAUGCAAGUCGAACGGCAGCACAGUAAGAGCUUGCUCUUACGGGUGGCGAGUGGCGGACGGGUGAGGAAUACAUCGGAAUCUACUUUUUCGUGGGGGAUAACGUAGGGAAACUUACGCUAAUACCGCAUACGACCUACGGGUGAAAGCAGGGGAUCUUCGGACCUUGCGCGAUUGAAUGAGCCGAUGUCGGAUUAGCUAGUUGGCGGGGUAAAGGCCCACCAAGGCGACGAUCCGUAGCUGGUCUGAGAGGAUGAUCAGCCACACUGGAACUGAGACACGGUCCAGACUCCUACGGGAGGCAGCAGUGGGGAAUAUUGGACAAUGGGCGAAAGCCUGAUCCAGCAAUACCGCGUGGGUGAAGAAGGCCUUCGGGUUGUAAAGCCCUGUUGUUGGGAAAGAAAAGCAGCAGGUUAAUACCCGGAUGUUCUGACGGUACCCAAAGAAUAAGCACCGGCUAACUUCGUG